rnacentral:ribozyme from 1 species
UCCAGCAGAUGUCAUGUUUGCACAACAUAUGAAAGAAAAAAUAAAUAAAGAAAUAAUGGUACUCAUGUCAAAU